AGACUAGUGGAGAGCUGGGCUUCGAGGCGUCAGUGUGAAGGGAAGGCUAAGGACGCAUCGGUGCUGGAGAGUUGAGAAUAUGCCUUCCCCUCCACCCCCAACCCAGUCACCUUAUUUGAAAAAAAAUUAAAAAACACCUUUUAUUUAAAAACCUAACCCUGGAAGUUUGCUCGGGAAGGCAUUCUCUUCCUCUUCCUCCAGCUGCCUGAAAAUCAUAUGCGUGGUUUUUCCUGUUUCCUGCUCUGUAGCUGACAUCAGGGGAGCAACGUGAACACAGGAAAAUGGAAAUCAACAUUUGAAACUUUUAAAUGGAAGCUUUAUUGGGGUUCCACAUAUGGAAAACUGCAAAUAGCAGAAGUAUGUGACUCAAUAAAUUAUUCUGGAGUGACCACAUCCUCUAACUGCCUCCCAGGACAAGACGGAGAAUGUGAACAAUGCUCCUGAAGGCCCCUUUCCCUCAAAGAAUCACUGCAAUUGAAGGAAAAAUGCUCCAUGUCCCCUCUGCCAGUUGGUGUUUAUCAAAGGACAACGGAGGAAGAGAGACAAAGUGCCUGGAUGUGUGUGUUAAUCAAGAGUUGUCAGGACCCUGCCUCUAAAAGAAAGCGCUAAAAUGAUGCUUUUGACAAGACUUUUCUCAAAGUGGAUGCAGUCUAAGGGUUGGAAAACAAGGCCCAAUCAGGCUAGGUCUGACUUGUCGCCUGCUUUUGUAAAUAAAGUUUUAUUGGCUCACAGACACA
rnacentral:lncRNA from 1 species